AGUCGAGCGAGCUUGCCUAGAUGANUUUGGUGCUUGCACCAAAUGAAACUAGAUACAAGCGAGCGGCGGACGGGUGAGUAACACGUGGGUAACCUGCCCAAGAGACUGGGAUAACACCUGGAAACAGAUGCUAAUACCGGAUAACAACACUAGACGCAUGUCUAGAGUUUAAAAGAUGGUUCUGCUAUCACUCUUGGAUGGACCUGCGGUGCAUUAGCUAGUUGGUAAGGUAACGGCUUACCAAGGCAAUGAUGCAUAGCCGAGUUGAGAGACUGAUCGGCCACAUUGGGACUGAGACACGGCCCAAACUCCUACGGGAGGCAGCAGUAGGGAAUCUUCCACAAUGGACGCAAGUCUGAUGGAGCAACGCCGCGUGAGUGAAGAAGGGUUUCGGCUCGUAA
rnacentral:rRNA from 1 species